CAAAUGAAGAGUUUGAUCCUGGCUCAGGAUGAACGCUGGCGGCGUGCCUAAUACAUGCAAGUCGAACGCUGGAAAUCUAGCUUGCUAGAUUGAAGGAGUGGCGAACGGGUGAGUAAUACAUAAGCAACCUACCCACGAAGACUGGGAUAAUCUCUGGAAACGGGGACUAAUACCGGAUAGGUAAUCGGAAGGCAUCUUCUGAUUAUUAAAGGUUAAAAACACUGGUGGAUGGGCUUAUGGCGCAUUAGUUAGUUGGUGAGGUAACGGCCCACCAAGACGAUGAUGCGUAGCCGGCCUGAGAGGGUGAACGGCCACAUUGGGACUGAGACACGGCCCAGACUCCUACGGGAGGCAGCAGUAGGGAAUUUUCGGCAAUGGGGGAAACCCUGACCGAGCAACGCCGCGUGAGUGAUGACGGCCUUCGGGUUGUAAAGCUCUGUUGUAAGGGAAGAACGGUAGAUAGAGAAUAUCUAAGUGACGGUACCUUACCAGAAAGCCACGGCUAACUACGUGCCAGCAGCCGCGGUAAUACGUAGGUGGCGAGCGUUGUCCGGAUUUAUUGGGCGUAAAGGGAGUGUAGGCGGUCUUUUAAGUCUGAUGUGAAAGCCCACGGCUCAACCGUGGAGGGUCAUUGGAAACUGGGAGACUUGAGUGCAGAAGAGGAGAGCGGAAUUCCAUGUGUAGCGGUGAAAUGCGUAGAUAUAUGGAGGAACACCAGUGGCGAAGGCGGCUCUCUGGUCUGUAACUGACGCUGAGGCUCGAAAGCGUGGGGAGCAAACAG
rnacentral:rRNA from 1 species